CAGCCGCCGCAGUAAUACCGGCGGCCCGAGUGGCGGUCACUAUUAUUGGGCUUAAAGCGUCCGUAGCCGGGUUGGGAAGUCCUCCGGGAAAUCUGGCCGCUUAAAGGUCAGAAUGCCGGAGGAUACUCCCAGCCUAGGGAGCGGGAGAGGCCGAGGGUAUUCCCGGAGUAGGGGUGAAAUCCUAUAAUCCCGGGAGGACCACCUGUGGCGAAGGCGCUCGGCUGGAACGCGUCCGACGGUGAGGGACGAAGGCCAGGGGAGCAAACCGGAUUAGAUACCCGGGUAGUCCUGGCUGUAAACGAUGCGGACUUUGUGUCGGACAAGCUAUGAGCUUGUCCGGUGCCGGAGGGAAACCGUUAAGUCCGCCGCCUGGGGAGUACGGCCGCAAGGCUGAAACUUAAAGGAAUUGGCGGG
rnacentral:rRNA from 1 species